GGUAGUGCCAAGAAAAGCGGUGAUCAUGAUGAAAAUCAAUUCCCGGUACCCGAAACCGACACAGGUGGGCAAGUAGAGAAUACUAAGGGGCGCGAGGUAACUCUCUCCCAGGAACUCGGCAAAAUGACCCCGUAACUUAGGGAGAAGGGGUGCCACCGAGAGGUGGUCGCAGUGAAGAGGCCCAGGCGACUGUUUAGCAAAAACAUAGGUCUCUGCAAACUCGAAAGAGGAGGUAUAGGGGCUGACGCCUGCCCAGUGCCGGAAGGUUAAAGAAGUUGGUCAGUCUUAGGAUGAAGCUAGCGACUGAAGCCCCGGUGAACGGCGGCCGUAACUAUAACGGUCCUAAGGUAGCGAAAUUCCUUGUCGGGUAAGUUCCGACCCGCACGAAAGGCGUAACGAUCUGGGCGCUGUCUCGGAGAGAGGCUCGGCGAAAUAGGAUUGUCUGUGAAGAUACGGACUACCUGCAUUUGGACAGAAAGACCCUAUGAAGCUUACUAUAGCUUGGAAUUGUGUUCGGGCUUCCUGUGCGCAGGAUAGGUGGGAGGCGAAGAAGGUAUUCUUGUGGGGAUACUGGAGCCAACGGUGAGAUACCACUCUCAGGAGGCUAGAAUUCUAACUUAAUUAAGGACAGUUUCAGGUGGGUAGUUUGACUGGGGCGGUCGCCUCCAAAAAGGUAACGGAGGCGUACAAAGGUUCCCUCAGACUGGUUGGAAAUCAGUCGCAGAGUGCAAAGGCAGAAGGGAGCCUGACUGCGAGAAGUACAGUUCGAGCAGGGUGGAAACACGGUCUUAGUGAUCCGACGGUGCUGUGUGGAAGGGCCGUCGCUCAACGGAUAAAAGUUACUCUAGGAUAACAGGCUGAUCUCCCCCAAGAGUUCACAUCGACGGGGAGGUUUGGCACCUCGAUGUCGGCUCAUCGCAACCUGGGGCGGAAGUACGUCCCAAGGGUUGGGCUGUUCGCCCAUUAAGGCGGUACGUGAGCUGGGUUCAGAACGUCGUGAGACAGUUCGGUCCAUAUCCGAUGUAGGCGUGAGAAUAGUGAGAGGAGCCUUCCUUAGUACGAGAGGACCGGGAAGGACGCACCGCUGGUGUACCUGUUAUGAUGCCAAUUGUAAACGCAGGGUAGCCAAGUGCGGAGAGGAUAACCGCUGAAAGCAUCUAAGUGGGAAGCCCACCUCAAGAUGAGUAUUCUUGUGUAAGGUCACGGGAAGACGACCCGUAAAUAGGCACGAGGUGGAAGUGCAGAGAUGUAUGAAGCCGAAGUGUACUAAUAGACCGUCGGCUUGAC
rnacentral:rRNA from 1 species